rnacentral:rRNA from 1 species
AAUGAACGCUGGCGGCAUGCCUUACACAUGCAAGUCGAACGGCAGCAUGACCUAGCUUGCUAGGUUGAUGGCGAGUGGCGAACGGGUGAGUAAUGCAUCGGAACGUGCCUUUUAGUGGGGGAUAACGUAGCGAAAGUUACGCUAAUACCGCAUAUUCUCUGAGGAGGAAAGCAGGGGACCUUCGGGCCUUGCGCUAGAAUAGCGGCCGAUGUCGGAUUAGCUAGUUGGUGAGGUAAAGGCUCACCAAGGCAACGAUCCGUAGCGGGUCUGAGAGGAUGAUCCGCCACACUGGAACUGAGACACGGCCCAGACUCCUACGGGAGGCAGCAGUGGGGAAUGUUGGACAAUGGGCGCAAGCCUGAUCCAGCCAUGCCGCGUGAGUGAAGAAGGCCUUCGGGUUGUAAAGCUCUUUCGGCUGGGAAGAAAUCGCACCCUCUAAUACAGGGUGUGGAUGACGGUACCAGCAGAAGAAGCACCGGCUAACUACGUG